AUAUAUUUUCAAAAAUAUUAGUGAUUUUUAAACUAAAUAAUUAAAAAUAGUUGAGAAUAUAUAUAAAAUAGUAAAAAUACUCUAAAAUAUCAAAAACAGUUGACUGAAAAUAUCCAAAAAUAACCGAGAUAUCCGAAAACAUUUCAAAGCAAAAUAACCGAAUGGAUACUAAACUUUGGAAUCCAAAAAACCGAUAAUCGUAUGGAUACGUACCAAAAUAGAAUGGAUAACCAAACGUCCAAAACUAUCUAAAAUUUU
rnacentral:sRNA from 1 species